GAGAGAGAGGAGGGUGGUGGUUGGUUGGUUUUAUACGAGGGAGAGGGAGAGGAGGGGAGGGCCCCAUUGACCCGGAUCCCUCUGGGCCAUUUGACCGAGUUGGUGCGAUGAGACGAGAGGAGGAGCGGAGGUUGGUUGAGUGGCUGCCAUUUGCAAAGGCCCUCCCCCCCACGGGGCUGGAUUUGGUAGUUCGAUUUGUUUUUGGAAAUGGGAUUGUUGGUUGUACCCGGUGAGUGUACCAGAUGCGUGAGUUGGGCGCGCAUAGGAGGGGACACGAGCUAGCCCAAGGUUUUCAAUUGGUCCAAGGGAUUGCUGUUGCUUGAUGGAAGAAAAAGUCUGAGUUGGAAACAAACUUCAAUGGCUCAACACCCACUUCCACGUUAGUAGAUUUUUUGGGGCACACAUCAGCAGCACAUGGCGAUGCUUAAUGGGCUCACCCACCGACAUUUUUCUAGCACCCCACGCUAGCUCCCCCUCCUUUCUGAGAUUCUAGAAAACCCAGCAGCAUGUCUUUGUGUGUGUGAUUGUGCAAGAAAGAAAGCAAAGAAAGGGAAAGGGUGAAGCAAGAAAGGGGAGAAUCUGAUCAAUUUGGUGAGCUACCCCCUCCUUCCUUCCCGCUCCUAAUUCCCCUCCCUCUUGAUAUGGAGGAAGUUGUGCACUUGUUUAACCCGUUACUUUAUUCUUGGUUGGUGUACAUGUUGUAAGGUUAGGGUAGGCCGAGUAUUCCAUGUACUCAUGCUUGCUGCAUCGGAAUUCACACAUCCAGCUGUUGCGACAACAGUAUCAUCACGAGUGUAUUACGUCAAUUUUAUGGCUAUUUUGUUUGUUGUUUGGUUAAGUUUGUAUAGUGAAAUGGUCAUGAUGGUGGCAGGACUGUUCGAACUAGUCUUGCUGCAAUAUUUGAAUUCUAAAGAGGAAGGUUCCUUUUUUUUAAAAAAAAAACCCGAAUAUAGAGGAAGGUUGGACUGUUUCCAUUUCCAUGAGGACAUCCUGGAGUCUUGAGUCUUGAGAGGACAAAAUACAGGUAAUCCUAGUAGAGUAAGCUCAGCUGUUCAUGUUCAAACAAAAGAAAUAUUUUAAUGGUUUAAUCUCCAACGAUGUAUCCUUAAGAAUUGUAAACUCAUUCGGGGUUUGGUGGUGACAUUGAUUACAGUGCUAAAGAAUAUUUUUCGUGGUACUCCGGUCCAGUCAGCUGCCCCCCUUUUGGUGCCAUGAAACCUCACUCUUUGCAUUCUUUCUGUUGCAUGAGUCCAAAGAUAAUACCACCAGAUCUACUACAGUUAAAAGUGCUUAUCUGCUCCAUCAAAAAGAGAACUAGUACUACAAGCAUGGUAUCCAAAGCGAUCAAUUGAGACAAUAACAAUCCUGAAAGAUUGUUUUCAUAGCAGAUAAGAAAUGCUCCAAAACAUGAUGCAGAUCUACUGAUGAGAAGAAGAGGAGGCAAGGCAAAUUGAUGGAGAUUGGAGAGGAGUACUUGCACUAAAUAGGCUGUGUUAUUGCCUCCUUGGCUAAUGUCUCUGAAUUGCGGGUGGCCGGGUCCCUUGUAUCAAUCUAAGUGCAAUUGUUCAACAGUCGCAGAGUGUCACACCAUGGAUCUAACAGUCGGAGGCCAAACGGUGUAUGGAGCUGUGGAUGUAGACCUGGUGUACUCAUGGGGCAUUCCUAGGAAGGGAAGGGAAGCCAAGAGAAGGAAAGGGAAGAGAAGAGAUGCAGCAGGCAGCAGGCAGCAGCAGCAGCAAUGGUGGUGUAAUAAUAAAGGUGUGUCAAUGAAUGAGAUGAGAUGCUGCUGAGCUACUACCCUCCCUCCAUGCACCUUGGGCCAAAUCCAACAAGAGAAAGAAUAACCUGAAGGAACGACUUGGCCAUUCACUCGUUCAGGCCGGUCAAUGCAGCAUCACAUUAACAAGACGAGGCAACAGUAACAAAAGAGCAGUUGGUGCACAACUUUUCAAGCGAUGUCCCCAUUCCACCGGAAAGUUUUCCCUAGCGGACACAACAAAAGACAAACAUUUACUCUGCCCCUUUUUUCCUCUUCGUUGUCAGACACGUCACCAGUGAAAAUUAAAUUAUAAACAUCGAACCUUGUUGUUCAUGCAUGGUACAGUAUGGAGGUGAGUCAAGAGAUGGACUAGCCGUAGAAACUGUAGGAGAAAAAGGAAGAACAGUGAUUGGGACCAAGAUGACUCGUUCACCCUUAUAUUUAAUUAAUCAGCACCGUUUCUUUUAUGAAUCAUGAUGUAAUGGCGUCAUUAGCUACCCUUAUUUACCCGCCAGGAAUCGUGCACGCACAUGUAAGCGAGGAGGGAAUUUGUGGUACUACACUACUACUUUGUUCAAUGGAAAAAGCUUUUAUUCGAAUGAAGCUUAAAAACAUAAUAAUAGUUUAGAGCAUAACAAGAACGGGAGAAACUCUGCGAGAAAGCACUGAUUGUUGUGAAACCAGUUCCUUAGGUUUAAAUUGGUAGACGAUGUACCUAUCAACAGCGAUGUGCCCAUAAUGACUUUAUCAAUAUCAAGAUAUGCCGAUCCAAUUUUUUAAAGGUAGGGAUAGGAUGUGUGUUUAUAAAGAUAGGGUGUGUGAGCAUCUAUGUUUGUAUUGUGUUUCUAAAAAGAAAUACUACCUAAUAUGAUUUACUACUUAAAAUAAUAUGGUAAUCUCUCCCUUACCCUCUUAGUCUCCUGUCCUAAAAAAACUCAUUCUGAAGUUUAAAUUUUGUCCAAAAAAAAAUUAACUUUUACCAUCUUACCUAACCUCAGCACAUAAAACGAGAAGUUUUCUCCUUUAAAUAUCCUUUAUCUACCUAUUAAAAUGAGGACCGCUACAAAACGAGAUCUAGUUGCAACGGGAUAGAUAUAUUAACUAUUCUCUUGCACGAGUAUCACAGAUACCAGAUAACAGGUAUUACAGGUAUUAGGUACCAUGCAGCUGGUAGCCUGGUACCACAACAGAGGUAACAGGUAUCACAGGUAUUGGGUACCAUGCAACUGGUAGCCUGGUACCACAACAGGUAUCAGGUAUCCUCGUAUAAGGGUAUCCCAUUGUAUUAGGUACCAGGUACUAUCUCAUAGAAGGGUAUCCCGUUCCAAUGAGAUACCGUUGUAUAAGCUUUCUGAUUAAAAUUACUACUUUUUCUAACAAUGA